rnacentral:misc_RNA from 2 species
AACGCACAUUGCGCCCGCCAGUAUUCUGGCGGGCAUGCCUGUUCGAGCGUCAUUUCAACCCUCAAGCCCCAGCGGUUUGGUGUUGGGGACCGGCGAGUACAGAGGCUUUGGGGACUUGUCCCCCUUCCCUCGGCGCCGCCCCCGAAAUGAAUUGGCGGUCUCGUCGCGGCCUCCUCUGCGUAGUAGCACAACCUCGCAUCAGGAGCGCGGCGCGGCCACUGCCGUAAAACGCCCAACUUUUUUUAAGAGUUGACCUCGAAUCAGGUAGGAAUACCCGCUGAACUUAA